rnacentral:rRNA from 1 species
AUUGAACGCUGGCGGCAGGCCCAACACAUGCAGGUCGAGCGGAUGAAGGGAGCUUGCUCCUGGAUUCAGCGGCGGACGGGUGAGUAAUGCCUAGGAAUCUGCCUGGUAGUGGGGGAUAACGUCCGGAAACGGGCGCUAAUACCGCAUACGUCCUGAGGGAGAAAGUGGGGGAUCUUCGGACCUCACGCUAUCAGAUGAGCCUAGGUCGGAUUAGCUAGUUGGUGGGGUAAAGGCCUACCAAGGCGACGAUCCGUAACUGGUCUGAGAGGAUGAUCAGUCACACUGGAACUGAGACACGGUCCAGACUCCUACGGGAGGCAGCAGUGGGGAAUAUUGGACAAUGGGCGAAAGCCUGAUCCAGCCAUGCCGCGUGUGUGAAGAAGGUCUUCGGAUUGUAAAGCACUUUAAGUUGGGAGGAAGGGCAGUAAGUUAAUACCUUGCUGUUUUGACGUUACCAACAGAAUAAGCACCGGCUAACUUCGUG